rnacentral:rRNA from 1 species
CAUGUAAGUCGACGUGAGGGAUAGCAAUAUCCUGAAAGUGGCGGACGGGUGAGUAACGCGUAGGUAACCUACCUUGGUGUGGGGGAUAACCAUUGGAAACGGUGGCUAAUACCGCAUGGGUCUGUGAAGUGUGGGUACUUCAUGGAUAAAGAUUAAUUUGCGCCAAGAGGGGUCUGCGUCCGAUUAGCUAGUUGGUGGGGUAAUGGCCUACCAAGGCGAUGAUCGGUAGCUGGUCUGAGAGGAUGAUCAGCCACACGGGAACUGAGGCACGGUCCCGACUCCUACGGGGGGCAGCAGUGAGGAAUAUUGCACAAUGGGGGCAACCCUGAUGCAGCAACGCCGCGUGGAGGAUGAAGAUCUUCGGGUCGUAAACUCCUGUCGAGCGGGAAGAACACCUUCCGGGUGAAUAAUCCGGAGGGCUGACGGUACCGCUAAAGGAAGCCCCGGCUAACUCCGUGCCAGCAGCCGCGGUAAUACGGGGGGGGCAAGCGUUGUUCGGAAUUACUGGGCGUAAAGGGCUCGUAGGCGGCCAACUAAGUCGGACGUGAAAUCCCCAGGCUCAACCUGGGAACUGCGUCCGAUACUGGAUGGCUUGAAUCCGGGAGAGGGAUGCAGAAUUCCAGGUGUAGCGGUGAAAUGCGUAGAUAUCUGGAGGAAUACCGGUGGCGAAGGCGGCAUCCUGGACCGGCAUUGACGCUGA